rnacentral:rRNA from 1 species
ACGUACGCUGGCGGCACGCCUAACACAUGCAAGUCGAACGAAGUAGCAAUACUUAGUGGCAGACGGGUGAGUAACAUGUAGGUAUCUGCCCUUUGGCCUGGAAUAACACGAGGAAACUUGUGCUAAUACCGGAUAAGUCUUUACGGAGAAAGCUUUAUGCACCAUUGGAUGAGCCUGCACUUGAUUAGUUUGUUGGUGGGGUAAUGGCCUACCAAGACUGUGAUCAAUAGCUGAUUUGAGAGGAUGAUCAGCCACAUUGGGACUGAGACACGGCCCAAACUCCUACGGGAGGCAGCAGUGGGGAAUCUUGCACAAUGGAGGAAACUCUGAUGCAGCGAUGCCGCGUGAGUGAAGAAGGCCCUUGGGUUGUAAAGCUCUUUCGUCGGGGAAGAAAAUGACUGUACCCGAAUAAGAAGGUCCGGCUAACUUCGUGCCAGCAGCCGCGGUAAUACGAAGGGACCUAGCGUAGUUCGGAAUUACUGGGCUUAAAGAGUUCGUAGGUGGUUGAAAAAGUUAGUGGUGAAAUCCCAGAGCUUAACUCUGGAACUGCCAUUAAAACUUUUUAGCUAGAGUAUGAUAGAGGAAAGCAGAAUUUCUAGUGUAGAGGUGAAAUUCGUAGAUAUUAGAAAGAAUACCAAUUGCGAAGGCAGCUUUCUGGAUCAUUACUGACACUGAGGAACGAAAGCAUGGGUAGCGAAGAGGAUUAGAUACCCUCGUAGUCCAUGCCGUAAACGAUGUGUGUUAGACGUUGGAAAUUUAUUUUCAGUGUCGCAGGGAAACCGAUAAACACACCGCCUGGGGAGUACGACCGCAAGGUUAAAACUCAAAUGAAUUGACGGGGACCCGCACAAGUAGUGGAGCAUGUGGUUUAAUUCGAAGAUACGCGCAGAACCUUACCAACACUUGACAUGUUCGUCGCGACUCUAAGAGAUUAGAGUUUUCGGUUCGGCCGGACGAAACACAGGUGCUGCAUGGCUGUCGUCAGCUCGUGUCGUGAGAUGUUGGGUUAACUCCCGCAACGAGCGCAACCCUCACUUUUAGUUGCCAUCAUUAAGUUGGGCACUCUGAAAGAACUGCCAGUGAUAAGCUGGAGGAAGGUGGGGAUGACGUCAAGUCCUCAUGGCCCUUACGUGUUGGGCUACACACGUGCUACAAUGGUAUCUACAACAGGAAGCAAGACUGCGAAGUUAAGCAAAUCCCUAAAAGAUACCUCAGUUCGGAUUGCACUCUGCAACUCGAGUGCAUGAAGCUGGAAUUACUAGUAAUCGUGGAUCAGCGUGCCACGGUGAAUGCGUUCCCGGGUCUUGUACUCACCGC